CGGACAAAGAUGCAAAACGGAGAAAGAGAAAUGAAAUAAUAAAGUGAAGUCACCUAAAGCCUUUUGAGAAGAGAAGCUCGACGUGAAAGAGUUCGGACCUGAUCAGCCGAACAUCACAGUUAAUCAGUAGUCCAAAAAACAGAGGGAGACAGUACACUCGUCUUUUUCCAGGACCUGUUUAGCAACAAGGCUUGGAAAACUGCAUAUAGUAAGGCUAAUGCUUUAUUCUGCUUUCCUUGCGUCCUUUUUAAAACGUCAGGAUCUGACCCAGCAUGGAUUAAGACGGUUUACAUUUGACUCUGGAAAGGACCCUGUGGCACUGGAGUGCAUCGCAUGUUCCUGUGCCGCAGGUAAAGCUUGGUGUAAUCACAUGGUAGCCCUGCUUUUUCAGACAGCACACUACAGUACCUUGGGGUUCAAGACUGUGCCAUUGCCACUGUCCCACACCAGCAUGCUGCAGACCUGGCACCGGCCAAGGACACAGGGAAUUGGACCAGAGGCAGCAAUUGGUAUGACAGUGUGUAAGCCCAAAACAAAAAGGAGUGGAGGACUGGUGCAAAGUGCACACUGCACAGAACAUAAGAGAGCCUUUUUGUUAAUUUAUUUAACCUUUAUUUUUCGAGGGUUGUCACGUUGUUUAUAUUUACAAUUAAUGUAAUGUACAUAGAUUUUUUCUUCUUCUUUUUUUUUAAAGGUAAGACGGGGGAUCUCAGCUGCCAGACCAGACAGCAGUCAGAAUGCCAGUUAUGGACCCUGGUACGCAAAACAUGACCCACAGCCAGAUGAUUCCGUGAGAUAUGCCAUGUUCGUGGGGGGUCUUCUGCCAAAGCCUUGGAUUCUCACAUCCUGAGGGGAAACACCUCAGACUGCUGCCAUGAAACAAGGUUUGGACCUGGAGUCGGAGAUAUUGCGGCAAUAUUCACAUUUUUGUGAUGUCUCUGUGACACCUUCUGGAGUAAUAAUCCACCCAGACACAGGUCACCUGAUGCCAAAGUCUUCAACCCUUGUGAAGCACCACCAUUUGGCCUGGCAGAGGUCAAGACCUGCAGUGUGGAAAGUGAUGCACAAAUGAAACACCUGACCACAGUUAAAGGCAAAGCCUACGUAUUUGAAGACUCACAAAUACUAUUAUUAGGUGCAAGGACAACUGGCCAUACGUGGCCUUCAGUGUUGUGAUUUCAUUACAGAUACGCACACUGACUUUACAGUUGAACAAAUCUUUAGGGAUGAAGAGCUUAUCUUGUCAAUGUGCCAAAAGCUGGAUGACUAUUUCAAUAUCUACAUGGAUGUCUUACAUAGUAAAGCUUAAAAAUGACUUGAGAGCAGUGAAGUAGUGCUGUAGUUGUACUAGUGCACCUAUGAAGCUGAUACAACAGUUCCUCCUACACCAAAUGUGUAACAAUAGUUUAGAUGGGUUUUAAUUGGUUUCAAAAUGUUUUAGUUUUUUUAUUUUUUUUUAGGUAAGAAAGUCUAAUGUAAAAGGUGUUCUCAUUUACAGUGCAGCGUUGCAGUGUUUGCAGUUUUCAAACAGAAUCGAAUACUGAUCUCAUGUUCUUAUGAGAAUGACACACUUUUGUUAAUGAUGUCACAAGAUUAUAUUAAAGAUGGGUGGUUACACAAGGACACUGAAUCAGUGAUGUAUAAACUUGUAAACAUUGGUCAUAUAGUUGCAAAGUUCAAACACCUUAGAAUCAAAGCACCAAAUGUGGUACUGGUUUGUCCCCUUUGAUAUGAAGAGGUCCCUGGUAGUUAGACAUCAGGCAACAGAUGGCCCAGAGCUGAUUGACAGAUCCUACCAUAGAGAGUGGAACAAGCUCAUCCCAAAUGUGGUAUUCCUUGACCCUGCGUAUGGCCCUUUCCAUUAGGAUCCUCAGUCGAGCAAUAGCCUGGGUCUUCUGAGUGUCUUCCUUGCUGGGAUGCACUUUUUUAAUGGAGGGAUGAUGAGUCUCUGACAGCAUCUUCUCAGUCAGGAAGCCCUUUUCCACCAGUACCUCAUCCCCUGGCUGGAGUAGCUGUAGAAGGUGUGAUCUCUUUGUUAUUUCAAUGUCUGAAACAGAGCCAGUGUACAGUGUCGAAACAAAUGUGAUAACACCACAUGGCGCAACACCAAUCAGACCCUUGAAGGUGGUGUGAUUUCUGUAACUUGAGAAUGUCUCUCACUGUAAUGAGAGGGAAGAUGCCGUUUCACAGCAGAUCUCGGUGCAAUCUAUGAUGACUCUGAGCUGAGGACAGUAGAGCCUGAACUUGUCAGGCAUUGUGGCCUGCAUUUGCUCUCUUGUCAUCCAUGAUGGUAGUGAUCCCAGAACCAGGUAGAGAUAGCUUGUCCAUGUGAGAAUGAUGCGACUAACAGACGACACAGUCACCUUAAAGAGCGAUGACAAGGUCUUCUCCUGAAGCCCAGCUGCUAUGCAACAG